rnacentral:rRNA from 1 species
AACGGAGGGGCGAGCGUUGCCCGGAUUUACUGGGCUUAAAGGGUCCGUAGGCGGUGUCCCAAGUCCCCCGUCGAAAGACUGCCCGCCUCAACGGGACGAGAGGUCGGGGGAGGACUGGGACGACUUGAGGGCGGGAGAGGCCAGCGGAACGGCGGGUGUAGCGGUGAAAUGCGUCGAUAUCCGCCGGAACACCAGUGGCGAAGGCGGCUGGCUGGAACGCCCCUGAG